UACGGAGAAUGCAAGCGUUAUCCGGAAUGAUUGGGCGUAAAGCGUCCGCAGGUGGCUGUGUAAGUCUGCUGUUAAAGCGUGAGGCUCAACCUCAUAAAAGCAGUGGAAACUACACAGCUAGAGUGCGUUCGGGGCAGAGGGAAUUCCUGGUGUAGCGGUGAAAUGCGUAGAGAUCAGGAAGAACACCGGUGGCGAAGGCGCUCUGCUAGGCCGCAACUGACACUGAGGGACGAAAGCUAGGGGAGCGAAUGGG
rnacentral:rRNA from 1 species